rnacentral:rRNA from 1 species
CCCCAGUAACGGCUGAGUGAAGCGGCAACAGCUCAAAUUUGAAAUCUGGCCCCCAGGGCCCGAGUUGUAAUUUGCAGAGGAUGCUUUUGGCGCGGCGCCUUCCGAGUUCCCUGGAACGGGACGCCAUAGAGGGUGAGAGCCCCGUCUGGUCGGACGCCAAGCCAGUGUAAAGCUCCUUCGACGAGUCGAGUAGUUUGGGAAUGCUGCUCUAAAUGGGAGGUAUAUGUCUUCUAAAGCUAAAUAUAGGCCAGAGACCGAUAGCGCACAAGUAGAGUGAUCGAAAGAUGAAAAGCACUUUGAAAAGAGGGUUAAACAGUACGUGAAAUUGUUGAAAGGGAAGCACUUGUGACCAGACUUGGGCCCGGUGAAUCAUCCAGCGUUCUCGCUGGUGCACUUCGCCGGGCUCAUGCCAGCAUCAGUUCGCCGCGGGGGACAAAAGCUUCGGGAACGUGGCUCCCUCGGGAGUGUUAUAGCCCGUUGCACAAUACCCUGCGGUGGACUGAGGUUCGCGCUCCGCAAGGAUGCUGGCGUAAUGGUCACCAGUGACCCGUCUUGAAACACGGACCAAGGAGUCGUCUUCGUAUGCGAGUGUUCGGGUGUCAAACCCCUACGCGUAAUGAAAGUGAACGCAGGUGAGAGCUUCGGCGCAUCAUCGACCGAUCCUGAUGUUCUCGGAUGGAUUUGAGUAAGAGCAUACGGGGCCGGACCCGAAAGAAGGUGAACUAUGCCUGUAUAGGGUGAAGCCAGAGGAUACUCUGGUGGAGGCUCGCAGCGGUUCUGACGUGCAAAUCGAUCGUCAAA